CACGUGGGCAAUCUGCCCUUCACUCUGGGACAAGCCCUGGAAACGGGGUCUAAUACCGGAUACCACUCCGUCCCGCAUGGGACGGGGUUGAAAGCUCCGGCGGUGAAGGAUGAGCCCGCGGCCUAUCAGCUUGUUGGUGGGGUAAUGGCCUACCAAGGCGACGACGGGUAGCCGGCCUGAGAGGGCGACCGGCCACACUGGGACUGAGACACGGCCCAGACUCCUACGGGAGGCAGCAGUGGGGAAUAUUGCACAAUGGGCGAAAGCCUGAUGCAGCGACGCCGCGUGAGGGAUGACGGC
rnacentral:rRNA from 1 species